CUCUUCAUGGAUUCUAUCUUCUGAAACCCUUUUUUCUUUCAUUGUGAUAAAAAAAUCAGCAUAUAUGUGACUAAUCUAAAUAAGAGAUUGAUUGUGUGAGACCACUGAAAACAAGCAUAUGUGAGUGAUUCCAUACUGAUUUUUGUUUUAAAAUUGAGCACGUUUUAAAAAUUUUGUAAGGCUCGGCGUAGUGGUUUAUGCCUGUAAUCCCAGCACUUUGGGAGGCCGAGGUGGGUGGAUCACUUGAGGUCAGGAGUUCGUGACCAGCCUGGGCAACAUGGUGAAACCCUGUCUCUACUAAAAAUACGAAAAUUAGGCCGGGUGCGGUGGCUCACACCUGUAAUCCCAGCUACUCAGGAGGCUGAGGCAGGAGAAUCGCUUGAACCUGGGAGGCAGAGGUUGCAGUGAGGUGAGAUCGCGCCACUGCACUCCAGCAUGGGAGGCAGAGCGAGACUGCAUCUCAGAAAAAAAAAAAAGGGCCAGGCAUGGUGGCUCACACCUGUAAUGCCAGCACUUUGGGAGGCUGAUGUGGGUGGAUCACGAGGUCAGGGGUUCAAGACCAGCCUGGCCAACACAGUGAAACCCUGUCUCUACUAAAGAUACAAAAAUUAGCUGGGCAUGGUGGCAUGUGCCUGUAGUCUAGCUACUCAGGAGACUGAGGCAGGAGAAUCGCUUGAACCUGGGAGGCGGAGGUUGUGAUGAGCCAAGAUCAUGCCACUGUACUCCAGCGUGGGCAACAGAGCAAUACUCCAUCUCAAAAAAAAUGUUUUUUAUAAGUUAAUUUUAAGUAGCUAGGCAUGGUGUCACACACCCAUAAUCCAAGCUACUCGGGAGUCUGAGGCGGAAGGAUCGCUUGAGUCCACAGAGGUGGUGAGCUAAGAUCGCGUCACUGCAUUCCAGCCUGGGUGACAGAGCAAGACUCUGUCUCAAAAAAAAAAAAAAAAAAAAAAAAGAAAGUGUGAAACCUGAUUCCUCAACUUAUUUUAAAAUUUUAUAUAUUAAAAAAAGUGUUAAGUGAACAAAAGUAAACUUUAAAAAGAGUAGCAAUUCAACUUUUUGCAAGAAGCUGCAUAAUACAUGAUAUGAGGGGUUUGAUUGCCCAUUUAGCACUUCUGUGCAUAGUUCUUUUCAUUUUUUUUAAGUUUUUUAUUUUUUCAAAGAAUCUUUGUUCACUCUGAUAUGUGUAGUUCUUAAUUUAGUUGCUUUAUCCAUUGGUCUUAAGAAAGUAACUCUAUACCAGUUGGCUAUCCAAGUUAUUAAUUCUUUUAAUCACUUUAAUUCACCCCUACAAAUAAAAUGAUUUCGUUUUUCGAAAAUUAAAAUCUAAAAGUGUCUUAAAAUUUACUUUUUGGGCCAGGUGUGAUGGCUCACACCUAUAAUCCCAGCACUUUUGGAGGCUGCGGCCAGAGGAUGGC
rnacentral:lncRNA from 1 species